AUGAACGCUGGCGGCGUGCUUAACACAUGCAAGUCGAACGAGGUCCAACCUUCGGGUGAAGACCGAGUGGCGAACGGGUGAGUAACACGUGGGGAACCUGCCCUUCUCUCUGGGAUAACUCCGGGAAACCGGAGCUAAUACCGGAUACUCCUUGCGGAUCGCAUGGUCUGCUCGGGAAAGCUCUGGCGGAGAAGGAUGGCCCCGCGGCCCAUUAGCUUGUUGGUAGGGUAACGGCCUACCAAGGCGACGAUGGGUAGCCGAGCUGAGAGGCUGAUCGGCCACACUGGGACUGAGACACGGCCCAGACUCCUACGGGAGGCAGCAGUGGGGAAUCUUGCGCAAUGGGCGAAAGCCUGACGCAGCAACGCCGCGUGCGGGAUGAAGGCCCUCGGGUCGUAAACCGCUUUCAGCAGGGAUGAAGAUGACAGUACCUGCAGAAGAAGCCCCGGCUAAAUACGU
rnacentral:rRNA from 1 species